UGGAGUGUUUAUUAUUAGUUUUUAAAUACUGAAUUAUGAGUUCUUUAUAUAGUUCACAUGUUAACCCCUUAUUGUAUAUAUUAUUUGUGACUGUCUUCUCCCAUUGCCUUUUCAUUUUGUUGGUCAUAUCCAUUGCUGUAUAAAAGCCUUUCAGUUUGGUGUACUCCCAUUUGUUUGUACAAAAGCUUUUUAGUUUGUUGUAGUCAAAAGUUUUGAGUGCGGUAUUUUGGUCUUUUUUUCUUUUUCAAUUGUGAGGAUACCAUUUCUGUUUUAUUUUGGUUAUCAAUUUGUGGACUAUGGACUGUGUACUCAUUACCCAUUUCUAGGAAGAAAUUUGAAUAUUCAGUUCAGAGAAAGGUAAACAAGAAUUCUUUAAAGCACUCUUGGGAGUUAGAGUUGCUAAUUAUUGUUUACCGUGGGGAGAUGCUCUCAAGGAAUCAUAGGUACAUGAAAUAGAAAUCUUUUACUAUUAUGCCUCCUUUUUAGUCCAUCUUAAAUAUACUGGACACAUGAAGAAAGAUGGCAACAGUGAGGAAGAUACCAAAUCCAUUGCUUGGGAAGCCUGCCAAUAAAAUAGAGCUGGCACAGGGUUUAGAACCCAAGCUCUUCCAGAUAGUGGACACACCUUACUUUCUGUCUUCAGCUGUGUUUCUUAGAGUGGUCAGAGAACAUCUUGUAUUUUAGGAUAGGCCCCAGGGCUACUUGAAUGCAGAUUUAUGGGCCUACCACAGGCUUAAGGAAUUAGAGUCUCAUAGAGUUGGGCCAGGGAAUGUGUUUUUCUUAGCCUUCAUUAUGGAAACUUUUAAGCAUACAGAGUGUUAGAAAGAGUAGUGAACACCUGUUACCAUCUACCUGGUUUCAAUAAUUAACAUAGAUAUCUUUGUCAGUGUAUGUUUGUGUAUCUAACAUACUAUGAGGAAGCACCUCUCUGUACUUCAAAUACUAAAUAAUUAGAAUAAUUCUACAUAGCUGUAAUACCAUUAUCCCAUCAUUAUCAAUGAUUCCAUAAUUUUACAGAAUCAUGUAAUAACUGCUUAUAUUCACAUUUGCCCAUUUGCCCCCAACAAUUUCUUCUAUAGGUUUUUUCCCCUCCAAACAGGGAUUUAAUUAUAAUUCACUCAUUGCUUUUGUUUCUGUUACCCUAGAACAGUUUUCUUACAUUUUUUCCCCUCGUGACAUUGACUUUUGCAGACUCUAGGCCAGUUCAUACAUGUUCUAUAUUUUGGAUUGCCUAAUUGUUUUUUCCAAGUAUCAUCUGACCUCUCUGUUUUCUGGGUCAACUUUAAGGUGCAUCUAGGGGCUUGAUUUUAUUCAGGGUACAUAUGUUUGCCAAAAUACUGCUUCCUACUUCCUUUUUGCAUCCUGUCAACAGGCACAUGGUAUCUGAUGUGUUGCACUGUUAGUGAUGCUAAGGUUUAUCUCUUGGUUAAGAUUCUGACUGCCAGAUUUUUCUGAAUAGAGGUAUAUAUUUUUUCCCUUUUGCAACCAGUAAAUAACUCGUGGGAUAAUACUUUGGCAAGAUGUCAGUGUUGUUUCCUAGCAACCUUUUACCCACUGCCAUUAGCAGCCAGUGAGAAUCCUCCCUGUUAUCAAUUAUGACAUUGUUGGUGGGAGGUGGGAUUUGUAUUUCAAACAAGCUCCCCAGUAAUUCUUACCUUUCUUUAAAGUUUGGAAGCCUUUGCUCUAGAGGAAUCAGUACCUGAGAAUUAAAAAAAAAGAAAUUCUGUCCUGAAGAAGUGAGUAUGAAUCUAGGCCCUGAUGAGUUCUCAGUGGGUUGUCAGUAGACAAAGUUUAAACUGCAUGUUAGUUUUGGAGGAGCAAAAUUUGUGUUCUCAUGUGUUUCUCAUAUGUAAUAGCAAUAAGUCAAGGUAAAGACUAACAGAGAUAUGUAGUAACUAUUAGUAUAUAUGAGUUAAAGGAGAGUGGUAUAGAAGAGGCAUAUAGAAAUUACUAAGGAGGAAAGGCAGCUGUAUUGAAAAUUGUUUUUGCAAAUAUUGUCUCAUUUAAAUUUUCAUAAGUUUUUGUGCUCAUUUUAUAGAGGAAGAAAUGGGUUUAGAGAGGUUAAGUAAUCUGAUGUUACUGGUAACUAACUGGUGGAGAAAGGUUUUGAAGGUAGAUCUCAUUGAUGGCAAAAUUUGUGCAGUUUUCUUUAUCAGACUUCUCUUGUAAUGAUCAGAAGGCUCUUCUCACUAAUUACUUUGCUUUACUUUGGGACUUUGCUGUUCUGCUUAUUGAAAAUGGAGAAAUGAUAUUCUUGAACCACUGGGCCCUCUUGAUGUAAAGCUAGGGUCCUUUGAGACCUCUGAUUUCUAGUCUAAUGUAUUAAACUCUGAGGAGUGUGGUAGGCUUACGACUCUUAGUCAGUUGUAACUGCUGUUGUGAUUCAAGCAGCUGAGUGGUACUGCUGAGUGUAUAUCUUUAGGAAGUUAUUUUCUGUACUUCACCCUAGUCUCUUUCUUGGGAUAGGUGAUCCUUCCAACCCCGUGAUUUCCACAUUACAGAAAGGAGUAUGUAGGGUUGACCACACCCUCUUGGCCACUCAUUAUCCUUGCAGGUCCCACCUAAAGGCUGCACCCGUAUGUUGGUUCUUAGGUGACCUGUUGGAAACACUGAGAGCAGCAGCUCUUAAGAUUCCUAAGAUUAUGAAGCUAUUAUUUCCAAACUUUGGCUGUGCAUUGGAAUCAUCUGAGGAGUUGGAUAUUUGGGUACUACCAUAACAGAUUAGGAUCCAUUAGAUCUGGAAGGGCCUUGGAAUCUGUAUGUUUUAAAAGCCUGUGUUUCCACAGAGGUCCCCCAGCAGUGCACCAAGAUGAGAACCACAGUUGUAUAGGUUGAUUUCUGCCACUAUUUGCAGUGAUAGUUCUUGAGAAGCAGUUUCUGUUAGGAUCGCUUGGAAAGUUUUUAUAAAUCUGAGCACUGGGCAUGCCAGAUUUAGAGCGGUGGACCAUACAGAGGAAGUUGUGAUGAUGAUUUUAAUGGAUCACACCAGUGUUAAAGCAAUCUCUGAUUUGACCUUACCCUUAGUUGGAAUGGGUUGGUGAAAGUGUGUAUUAAUCAAGUAGUAGCAAGAUUUGUCAUCUAUUAUGGCAUAUGGAUUACCAUAAACUAAAGCCUUAGAAUAUUGUAAAGACAUUUAACUUUAAAACUGUAUGGUGUAUAAUUGAAUAUUCCUUUGAUUCAGAAGCUUCUUUGGAAGUUUGAAGUACUUCGGGGUCAUUAUUAACACAAAUUACCACUGUUAGUGUUCUAGAAGUGCCAGGUUAGGUGUUGGGGAGAUUGAUAUUCAAUCCAGAGUGAAUUUCACAUCUUGAAUUUUCAGAAAUGUUGUAUAUGUUGAAGUCAGUACUAAGGUAGGAUUCCUAAAAAGAAACCAGUGAGUGAAAGAGGAGAAGUGACCUAAAAGGUAUUAAAUGGGUGUCAUUACACACAGGGAUGAAGGAAGCAGAGAAGAAAAAUGAUUUCACUACAUUUUGCUUGACAGAUUCAUGAGCAGAGGGUGGAUAACUAGGGAAGGGGAUCGGAAGGGGUCAUGGAGUGUUUUGCUCUGUUACUCCAUGUUGGUAGGAUAUCAGUACAGUAGAUCAACAAGGAAACCUAGAAUCCGCACAUACCAAAAUAGUGUCCCUCGGGGUUCCAUGUGGGAAUGUAGUGUGGCAGUGGUGAGGCAGUUCAGGCUCCUUAUAACUGGGCAGUUUGGGUCAGAAAUCCUAGUGGAGGCAAUGGCUGGCAGAGAUGGGGCACAGAGUUUAUGGGCGAGCACCGUGUAGACCAGGUUGGAGCCUCUGAUUUUGGAUUGAAAUGAGCAAAAUUCCCACAUCUGUCAUUUUGCUUGGUUAUGAGGAAUGCAGCUCUGGAGGAGUCACCUAAAUAGUAUAAGGAGCCUUGUAUGUUCAGGAUGCUGCCAUUUUGCCUUCUUUAAAGCAGUUUUCAUGAAAGCUGACUCCAAAGGAAAAGAUUAUGCUUUCUAAAAAGGAAAUUAUAUUUUCAAAAUUCAAGCAAUCCCAAAUGGUUUGGUUAGACCUAGUGUGUGAUGGUGUGCCUUUGGACUAGGAGAACAGAGAAGCUACCUAAAGGAUUUAUUACUCUGUUUGCAGACUAAAUGACAGUUGUAAAAGCGAAGCUGAAGGUAAAAGCAAUUAUAUUGUAGAUUUGGAAGAAUAGAGAAUUAGAAUAUGUUUGUAGCAUUUAUGGACUAUAUGGUUUCCAUUGUUUGCUAGGGACUACAUAAUUUUUAGGUAGGUUUUCAGAUGGUAGUUGUCUAGGAUUAAAUGAGAUGGUGUUUGUCAGGCUGCUAAAGGAUUUGUAAUGGGGACCCAUGAGGUUGGAUUGUGUCAUUUUGCCUGUUUGCCUGACAUUUGCAGUUCACGAUCUCAAUUUGUGAUAUGCUCAUACCUAUUCCUGAAAAACCUCUCAUUCUGCAAAAUCACGCACUAAAACUAAGGCCUGUGGGGAAAAAAAAGGAUUAAGGCUAGACUACUUAAAACUAUGUAACUUUGUAACCAUAGCAUUAACAAAAACAAUGAGAAUCCAGAUAAAAAUACCACUACGGUAGUAUGGGUGACAUUUGCACUCCCUGCCAAGAUGAUUCUAGGUCUUAUUUUAUUCUGGGACAUGUUUUUCUUUGAAAUGUUGGUUCCUGUAGCUAUUAGCUUCUAUUGGAGGCCGGUUUCACCAUAAUUAAAGCUCUGAUGUAAGGUGUAGCCUUCAUGUGUGUCCACAGCAUCACAAGAUAGUGGAGAGCAUAACAGACCCUAAAGCCAGUAAAGUGACCACCCCUAUUUGUGCCACAGGAAGGUAAGACUUUGGUGAGAUUCUCAGUUACCACUUUUCUUAAAAUCUUUAUUUUGUUUUUCCCUCUAAGUCUUUCUCAUUAUUUCUGAACAAUCUUGUCCAGGAUAGCUUCAAAACAUUAACAUGCUGGGAAGAAUCACUCAAGAACCAACACUACUUUCCCAUUACACUGUUGUCAUUCUCAUUUUGCCAGGCAGGUGUGAAGGAAUCCAUGGGACAGAAGCAUGCGUUUUGGCAGAACUGACAUAUUUUUGAAUCUGACGGUUUCAUGAUGCAGCUCUUGAAAAUACCAAGGUUCUAUUGUUUUGGGAAGUUCUAGUUUGGGAGACACUAGUGUUUCAACGUUAAGUGAAAUUGGUACCCUUCUCAAGUUUGGUGGGGUUUUUUUGUUGUUGUUGUUUUUUUUGGCCCUUACAUACAAUAAGUAAGUGAAGAGGGGCUAUUUUAAUCCAUUUUAAAAUGUCUGCUUCUAUCACAUAGUCAUUGGAUGGAAUGUGGGGAUGUCUCAGUGCCGCAUCAUUUGGACCACAUAUGUGGAGCAGGAAUGGUUUUAAAUUUUGGUUCAUUUGAAAUGUGGUUUUAGUGAGCUUUUAAAUUAAAAUUCAUCUGAGCAUACAGUAAACAGAAAAAGGAGCAACAGUAGCCAGUUGUCAAGGAAAAGACUGAUGGGUAGAAUAAACAGACGGCUUUCAGCAAUAUAAACAAUCUGUUUUCAGAGAGUGUUUUUUUUUUUUUAAAGGAUGAUUGGGAGAAUUUCCAAAAUAAGUAGAAGUUAGUUAAAUGUGAAAGGCAGCAGAUAUACAACAUUUAUGUUAGUGACUCUUACAAUUUGUUUCCUCAGUAAGUAUAAUAGCAAAAAUUUCGGUGACUUAACACAAUAGAAAUGUCUUGUUUCUUGUGGGUGGUCCUGGCUGAUAGUGGCUUUUACAUCCUUUAGGGACUCAACACCCUCAGCAUUCAGCCAGUGAAAGGAAGGGGAAAAUGGAGAAAGCCUAAGUGCUUCCUAAAAGCCCUACCUAAAAGUGAACACAUCACUUGUGCUGAAAAUCCAUUGUGAAGAACUAGCCCUGUGACUGUAACUACAUCAGCUCUAAGCGAAAGACAUGAGGCCUAAGACUGAAAUGAGGUUGUUUUGAGGCCAUCUGAUUUCUGACUAGAAGGUGUGCGAUCGCCUCGUCCUGAAACCACUUCAAACAGAAUGGUUUGCAAUUUUUUUUGGUGAUGGCAUGUUCAGAAUCUUGGAUCCCUAAGUUGAAUAUGUUGGAAAUAUUUAGGAACUCUGGAAAUUAUUGUUUUGUGUAUAUAAUGGCUUACUAGGUGAAUCAGUAGAUUUAAUAAAAAGUAUAUAAAAGACUAGGUAUUAUAAAUUUUGUGUUUCUAAGUUGACAUGCAUAUCUCAAAUUGUCAUCUAUCAGUAUUAGUGUCAUUCUCUGGAGAUAGUCCUAUUUUGAAGAUUUGGGGGUUUUUAUGGACCCCGUAUUUUCCUGGCGGUUUAUGUAUUCCCCCACGCCUCGGGCCAGUUUGUUCAGCUCCUUUACCUUUCUACUACUGUGCAGUGUAGCUUACUUAGAUCAGUGGUAAUUAUUGAACAGGAAGAGAUCAAGUGACAGUCCUAGAGAUAGUAAUUAUAAAAUUUCAGCCUGGAAAUGACCUCAAAACGGUCUGUAUUCGAAUGUACAGAUUAUAUCCAAAUACACUUGUGACAAAACGCUGCCGAUUUUCUCCUUGGAUAUUAUUGUCUAGGAACAGAAGUGCUAAUAGGGAGGAAAAAGAACUGUUCAGUUUUACCUCUUCCCUCUCUCCCUAUUGUUGGGCGAAUGGGUUAGGGGGAAAGUAAGAUGGCCAAGAGAUAGACCAUGUAAAUGAAAAGGAAGAAAAACAAAUUUUAAUCUCCAAGAAAGAAUAUUUCCCCUUAAAAAUUCGAAAGUUAGCUCCAUUCUGUGUACCUGAACAUACUGUUUUAAAACUGUGGGCUCAUUUUCACAUAGGCCCAGAAUGUGAGCUAGGGUAUGCUUAUGCUUAACCAUAGGAAUGGCUGGAGAACUUGUUAUUUGAUAGGAGAGUCAGACAGUCCUUGGGUGACAGUCAGUGGUUGACUUGUUCCCUGACCUGUUCCUGCUGCGAUUAACAGAUUUGAGGAAUUUUCUGGGGCAGUUAUUUUGAUGGUCAAAUGAUACAACAGCCUCUCUACCCCUUUGACCAAAACUGAGGAAAAAAUUGAUUUUUAAGACUGUAUUUAGAACAGCCUGAAAAAGGAUCAUAGGAAAAGGCUGAGGUAGUCCAGUAGAAUGUUAAUGUAUUUGACUAUUACAAGGUUUAUUAUUGGUAGAUUAUCCAAUAAUACGGAAGUUGGUGUAUAACCCAAGUUUUCAUAACGUUUCUAUUAGAAGACUUCCAGAACUAAAUAAAAUACACCCUCCACCCCUUUGCUUUACUUUGCUUUGCUUUAAGAGGAUUUGACUGAUAGGUAUAUUUAAUAGGUGGCACAAUGAAGACAUUAGAUUUUUAAAAAUCAGGUUACAUUUUAAUUUAAAUGUGUGUUGCCUCUUUGCUGCUUUCCCAUUACAACUGGCUUUUUAAAAACUCUCCUUCUGUGAUACUUUUAUCAAUAGAGGUGUUUCCUCUUAGCCAAUUCUAGCCACAGUAUUGACUGGGCCUCGGCAUUUGAUAUACCCAGAAGGAAUUAGACAGACAGGAAAAAAGUUGGUCUAUACUGAAAUGAAUAUUUUAAAAACCUUCUUAGAUUCUGAACACUUUGAGUACAAAUGAAAGAGACCCAAGAGGGGGGAAAAUUUAAGAGCCCAAGAAUAAAAAAAUGGUGGGGGUGGGGGUGGGGGAUAACCCCUUACAUAGCUAACUAAGGUAUAAUAAGGGAAGGAAAUUAAUUUCCUGGAGAUUAUGAGAUAGAAUAUGAAAUCCCUUGGAUAGUAGGCAUUCUUAGACUCAUUAGGGUAGUUCACACUAGCACACUGCAGUAUUGUAAGGACAGUGGUAUGUGAUCUGGAGAAAUAUUAAUGGAUUUCCUAACACAGAGUUUGGUAUUUAUUGUAGUGUGUUAUAAAUGGGUAUGCAGCUCAAAAAUGAAUAUAAUUCAAAAUAAGUAUCGUAGAUACUAGAGAAAAUAUUGUAAAAUCUGGAUCUUUUGUCUCUAUUUUGCAACGUUAGAGAGUAAUGUAGAAUACAGAGCAUAGUAGAGAAUUGAUGGCAUGACUAUAAUCAGUAUGUGAUGGUUGCUUACUAGAAACUUCUAAAUAAAACCUGACAUUUGUCUAAUGUUGUCCUCAGUUGUACUGUAACAAUUUUAGUGAGAAAAUGUGUACCUUCUUGGGUCACUCUACUCCAUAGUCUGGCACAUCACUGUGGAAAUGUAGAAAUCUAAGCUCGUUUACCCAGAGAGGAACGGAUCUUUGUAAAUUUGGAUACAGUAAGUGCGUAGGGACACACACAGAAUGUGAGCCUAGAACAGUGGUUCUUGGUAUUUGGGCACUUUUCGACCCUCUUUUGAAAACCUGAAGGUAACUCUGGAUCCUUUCCCCAACAAGACUGCAAUUUCUGAGGGUAGAGGGACUGCCCUUGGCUGUCAGGUCAGGAAGCCCUGAUCUACAAGAUCAUCUUCAUUUUACUUCUGACCUUGCUCUUGACUUUAUUGUCAACUGUCUGUCAGGGGUUCUCGAAUGGAGCUUCAAAUCUUGAAGGACGCUUACUGCCUUACUCGUUGAACUGAAGCCCCAUGUCCAGAGCUCUGUAACGUAAUGGAGCAGACGUCGUUCACAAAACGCUGCCCCACAAGUACAGUGGUAGAAAGAGAGCCUGAGGCAUUUGUGUGUGGCACAGCCUCCUGGGUAGUACCUCCUUCCUACUGGCACAGGGGGGUUUAUUCCAUAGUAAGUUGAAUCUUGAUGUUCUGUUUUUAAAAAUGAGCAUAUUUCUUCUAAAACCUCGAAUUAUUAUAAAGGUUUCUAACUGUGACUUUUUCCUCGUGUCAUAGGAUGUCACAUUAAUGGUGUAAAAUGUGCACUUCACAUUAACAUAGUAACUGGGAACCUGGGAUUGUUAUUUUGUGACUCAAAUCUAUAACACGUUUUCAGGGGAAUUGUUGAGAUGACCGGAUAAUUCAUUCUUUAUUCCUUUCAAGUUCCUGAAUGUAUGAUUGUUUCUGAAUCUUAUUAAGCCAUUUAUAAGAUGAGACAAAACUGUCUUCAGUUCAUAUUUUGACACAGAAUGCAUACAUUGAAUUGAUCUUAUUAGAAAUGUGUUUUUGACAAAAAAAUUCUAUUUGAGUGGCUCUAAUCUUCAUUUUGGAAUCUCAGAUCCCCUGCUCGUUAUGUCGUUCACUGGGACUUUGCUGCAAAAUACAGCUUCGCUGAGAAGGUCAUCCUUGAAAAAUCAAGAAAUCUGAAGAAACUUACUUUGGGACUUGAGUAAAGAGACGGAAGAGCAUCGUCAGAUUGACAGCGCAGCACUCUGGAAACAUCUUCGACUGCACUGCUUUUGUACAUGAAACAAUUUGACUGUUUUAUGAACUGGACCUAUAGAGAGAGAAAACAACCUCAUAAAAUGUAUCUUUAAUAUAAGAAAACAGGACUCUGGCCUUUGAAACAUUUCUGUCAGGACAGUUUGUUCUGACUACUCACUGAGGGAGGGAGGAGCUUGGGUCAUUGAACUCGACUGAAAGUUAGUUGCCAUGUAUUCUGGAUUUGAAGGUGUUUUUUUAAUUUCCUCUCAGAAUAUAGUGUUUUGGGCUUUUGCACCAUCUGCCUUCCAUGUGCCUUUCCUGUGCCCUGAGAGAGGAGCCGGAGUUCACCUGUGCCCUGAUACUUGUUCUCUGUCCUUUCUUUUCUAUACUGUUGACUUAAAUGUGGGGAAAUGUGGAGCAGGUAGAGGAUUCCAGGAUCCUGUUAAAUCUAUCCCGCUAUCCCUCCCAGGUAGUUGUAUUGCAUUUCCUUUUCAGCUCCUCUCAGUGUUGCCCAAUUUUAGCCCCUCGGUUAGGUCGAGGCGGCAUUAAAAUCACACCUUUUGAGGCUCCCUUCCCAUCGUCCUUUUUGUUCUGCCUGCAGUGGGCGGUUUUCAGUUGUCCUACUGGGCCACAUGUGCUCUCUCAUUUCCCUCCCCCUUCCUGCGUGUUCUGCUGGAGAGAGAAAACAGAUCUAGACUUGGGGAUUUGAGUUGCGUGAGGUUUGCCCCCACAGAUGCACAGCACGGUGUUUAAAAUACAGCCUCUUAGCUGUGCUGUCCACAGUAGUCUCCUUCAUACCUCUGCUCUGUGCUGGGCACUGUCCCCUCGUCCUCUCCGCCGCUCGAUUCUCCUGAGGCCGGGAAUGGACCGCAUGGCGCCAUCCACACAGGGGGAACCGUAGUUGACCUCUGUGUAAGCUUGCUAGUUCUGAGGUCAUGAGUUAACGAGGGAGCCGAAGAGUUCCCCGGGUCCUCCACCGGACUCUGGUAAAAGCAGAUCAUGUGCAGAGAAAGUCCUCAUGCCGGAAUGAUUUUGAAAACAAGAUUUGUCCAAAGAAAUAGGCCAAAUUCCAGGUUAACCGUGAACCCACAUUGACUCUCCUGGUGUGCCUUACUUUCCACAAAAUAAAAACCUUACCAAAUGAACCCUGACGUAAGUCAAAUGUGGUAUUACUCAAAAAGAGUUUUUACAAGUAGUUUUCAGAAACAUGUGCAAAUAAAUAUGUUUUGUAUGAAAGAGUAUAUACUAUGUACAAUAAUUUUCUGAUUCUUGCUCUAAUAAAUAUUAAACUUAAGUGGUCUCCGUAUUUGAGCCCUAAUAGUUUGAAAUUAUUUUUUUGAAAUUACUUUCUUGAGUAACAUUUUAAGGUACACAAUCUUUUUACUUUUCAUGUAACGUGCAAGUGUUCUUAGAAGCUGUUGACACGUGUUUGUUUUCCACAUGUGAACCUACUGUGUCUUCAGUUAAGAGUUUCUGAACCUUUGGCUGUAAUUACCAAGCGCUGGGGGUUGGGCUGGCUGGAAAUGCGUGUUGAGCUUUUCUGUGUAUGCAGCAAACUGUGUGCAAAUAAAGUAGCUUUGUACCCUGAA